ensembl:lncRNA
GAGGGAGAUGGGCUCAGUUGUGAUCACAUUACAGAUAUCGCUCAAGACAUCACCUGUUUAUCAAGUUAAAACUUACUGGAAAUGUUUACUCAUCCAGUGGGACACUCGUGGAGCAAGUUACCUGCAAUCAAGGUUUCACUGUACGUGAGUUGCAAAUAUUUUCUCCUACUCUGACUUGUGCUCUGUCUAAGCAGUCUUUUGAAGAUUAGAAGCUGUUCAUUUUGGUGAAGUCCAAAUAAUUAAUUUUUUAUUUUAUGGAUUAUCCUUUUGGUGUCUCACCUAAGAAAUCUUUGCUCACUCUCAUGUCAUAAAUAUUUCCUCCUAUGUUUUCUGCUAGAAAUAUUACAAUUUUUUGUCUAUGUUUAGGCCUAAGAGGACACGGGGGGCCUGGCAGGCAACAGGGCCCUGGCCAUCAGCUCCAACAGGGCGCCCGCUCAUGCACAGACCAGCUACAGUGCCCCAGAGAGAACCCCGGGGUGGGCAGGACCGGGCGCUCCCAGACAGGCACUCACACAGUGCUCUAUCUCAGCCCAAGCCCCCUUCCCUGAACCUCAGAGCCUGAACUCCUCGGAAAGGUGUCUUCCACGGUUCGGCACUAAGGGGAAACAGCCACGUUGCCCCUUAAGAUCAGUGAAACUGCUCACACUCUUCAAACCAGAACUUCAGAGCACUCACUCUGCCAGACCCGAGCUGCCCUCCGACGACAGAUAUUAAAACAGUAGAGGCGAAGCCCUUCGGAGCACACAGAGACAGAGAGGUGACGCGCGGUCCGGCCUUCGGGAUGAACUUCCAGGGUGAGAAGCAGCCACGGAGCCUGAGACCCCAGGGGGUGCGCUGAAUGCACCAGGCUUUAAAGGCUUCCAGGACCUGGAGAUGGACUUCUAGCAAGGUUCCUGCACAAAGAAACCCAACAUGUCAGAGUCGUACUAGACGCUGCGGUAGCUGAGUGCUGGCGGUGACUGAGGCUCACACACGGAAACUACAAUUGGGCUGGGGGGGACAGCGUGGGCAAGACCUGAUAGAAGACGCCGUCCGGACGUGGGUCUCAAAGGACAAAGUGCUUCAGCAGGUGAAAAGCGGACAAGGGAAGGUCCAGUGAGUGGAACAGGCCCCCAGGCAGAGUGCAAGUCCUCCACAAGUGCCCGGGCGCCCCUCCAGGGCAUGCCGCCAGUCAGGCCGCAGAGCAAGUCUCAAAAACCUCAAAGACUGCAAUGAUACAAAGUGUACUUCAGGGGGAAUACAAGUCAAAAUCUCGAUGAGAUACCACUCUACACACGCUGGGAUGCCCGGAAUUCAGAAGGGGGAUCAUUACAAGUGUUACCGAGAACCUGGAGAGCCCUGAACCCUCACACACUGCUGUGUGCAGUAUAAAACCUGCCUGUAAUAUCAGCAGGCAUCGGUACAAAAGUGCAUUUGUGAUGUGUGUAUUUGUAAAUAUACAUACAUAUGCAGAGUCGCAAAACACGGAUACACGCUUGGGAAAAGAAACACCGGGAUCAGUAUUUUAACGCCAAAUUUAUUCAGACAUGGUGAGAUGAGUACAAGUCACCUUUGGCCUCCACAGUGACAGGAGGUGCUCAGAGGGGGCCGUGAGCCCCCAGAC